AUGUUCACUAUCUUAAGGAUUUAAUAUAAAUACAAAUAGCUUGAGUUUCCAGUUUAGAACCUUACCCAGAGGGCACAGCUGGCAGGAGCUCAAUCCCACGGCCCUGAGAUCACACCCGUCCUGAGCCGAAACUGACUGCACCCCCAGGUGCCCAGGAUUGUUCAGUAUUUUUUAAAUGAAAGUACAGUGCCCUUCUUUGGAUUACAGGACUUAUUUUAUAUGCUGAUUAUCAACUAGAGCAGAGAAAACUUGGUUUCCAGAGCCUUUUUAAUUCUCCAGAACUUCAAGCUUAGCCCAGGAAGGGAAGACAAAGAGGAGGAAAAGAGCUAUGCCUCUAAGACCUUGCCAGGAGCUCGGAAAAGGGCACCCCCUGCUCUCAUGAAGGACUGGCAGGGAAGCGACGCCCACUUCCAGGAGAAGCAGGAGCUGUACCUGGUACAUCUGGUGAGGACAGUUGCGUGGGUAGGGGACCUCAACCUUGCAGGCAGAACAGGAGAGGACCUUGGAGUUAGGCCCCUUGAACCCCUCUUGAUUUUGCCAGGUGACAACAUAUCCUAUUGAACCUUGACUUUGGGCCUUACACCACAUAUACACCAAGAGGCAUUUUUAUGUAGAGGGUCCAGUUAAGGGAAGCUGUUCUUUCAGAAUAAAUUGUAUGGUAAUGUGUUCUUUUAAGCUAUAGUACAAACAGCCAUAUUGAAACUUUACCUCACUUAGUUUUAUUGAGCAAUAAAAAAUUUGAUGCAGGCAGGUUGGGUGUCACGACCCAGACGGGGGUGUCCCGCAGGACCAGCCAAGAAGGUCUUGGGCUUCAAGCAGGAUGGAAAUCACAUGUGAGCCAGGAAGAGGUGAAAUCAG
rnacentral:lncRNA from 1 species